AGAGAGUUUAUCAAGCAGCGACUAACUGCUGCUGCUGGAGAAAUAUUCACCGCGUUUCAACAAACUGUCGUCCAGUUCGAGGAGGAGAUUGAUCGACAGGGGAAACUUCUGGAAAUCAACUGGAAACAUCAAGUCAGGUUCCACAGAACAGAGAGUCCACAGCAACACAUGGGUAACCAGAAGACGAGCUCCAGUCUGGAGCAGGAGGAACAUGAAGCUCCACACAUUAAAGAGGAGGAGGAUGUUGUUGAGGCGACUGUUGCUGAUGGUGAAGGAGACGAUUCCCACCACUCCGUGAGAGACCUGACCAUCCAGAGUCUAACUGCUGCUGCUGAGGAAAUAUUCACCCUGUUUCAACAAACUGUGGUUCAGUACGAGGAGGAGAUCGGUCGCCAACGCAGAAUGCUGGAAAUCGACUGGAAUCCUCAGAUCAGGUUACACAGAACAGAGCUCCAACAGGACCAUGACUGCAGACAGGAGCAGCUCUUUAAACAGGAAACAAAC